rnacentral:tRNA from 1 species
GCCGCCAUAGUGAAAUGGAGUUCACGCGACCCUCCGGAGGUUGAGUUCUGGGUUCGAUUCCCAGUGGUGGCACCA